rnacentral:sRNA from 1 species
CUAACGGCGUGCCUCGGCAUCAG